rnacentral:rRNA from 1 species
GGCUACCCGCUGAGUUUAAAUCAUAUCAAUAAGCGGAGGA